ACUUCUUUUAGAACUUAUAAAACUCUAUCUGGGCCAUCUUCAGCUGCUCCCUAGAGGGUGACAUGCAUUGUCGGGUGGCCCCUCCUAAGCUUUAUUCCAAUGGGAACUGUGAAGGACACAGUCCUACUUGGUUUGGAGACCAUCAGUUCUUGAGGGUUUACUGCUUCAGUGAGGAAGCUCCUUUUCGUAGGUCCCCAUUAGAAAUGAUGGAAGAGAAGAACACCACUCCUAGCUCCUGGACUUGGAUUUUGGCUGGUCUGUUUCCUGGCCCAGUGAAGUUCUGGGACACUAGUGAACCCCUCUGAGAUGGAGGGGAUCAUCUAUUUAAAAUGGAAAAGGGAGGUAGAGAUUCUUUCUUUUAGCUCUUAGGAUAACGUCCAAACUCCUUGUCACAUCCUCCCUGUUCCUUCACGACCCGGUUUCUGCUCACCUCUAGACUUGGCCACUAUUAGGGCAGCUCCUUCAUUACCGUCUAGAUGCCGGCACUGGCCUUCCUGGUUUUCAGGUGACCCAGCUUUGCCCUGGUCCUGUGGCACUUGCUAUUCUUGCUCCUGGAAGCAUACCUUCUCCUGCUUGGGCUUGUUUAGUCCUUCACCUCCUGGGGCUCUACCUGAUAAAUCUCCUGGGAGAGGCUCCCUGAUCUCCUUUCUGUAAGAGUUGCCCCUUUCCCCUACUCAAUAGAUUUCUAUCUCAUUAUUCUAUUUUAUUUUCUCACUACCAUCUAAAACCAUCUUAUUUAUUUACUUUUUUGUGUUCUUGUUUAGUUCUGAUUUGACUUCUCUCUCUGUGUAUAAGGAAUGAUAAUGGGGGGCCUUGCUUGUUUUAUUUGUUGCUGUAUCUCUAGCAGUGCCUGGCAUAUAGUAGGUGCUCAGUAAAUAUUUGUUGCCUCUUUAAACAGAGGUGGUUAAUAACUAUCCUACCUGCUUUGCAGGCUGCCUGGGAGAAUCAAAUGAGGUGGUACCUGCUCUGAAUGUUCUGUGGCACUGGCCCACGGAUGGGGAGUUGUAUCUCUCUGUCUGGAAGUCUCUUACCGUGCAUCAGAACCCUGGGAACAUGAGGUGAUGGAGUAGUACAGCUCAGUGUGCUGGCAAAGCCAAGAAAGGGAUGUGGAAGAGCAUGGUGCUUGUCUUGGAGGUUGGCAUAUAAAAAAAUUGCCAUGGCUAUUCACAUUCUAGACCUAUCUUGGAAUCUCCGGAAAUCCUAGGUUUGAGAUAUUGGCUGUGGUCACUAGAGAAGCUCUCUCCCUCCUAUAGCAAAAGUUCUCAGUGUUCCUAGAUUUCCUGAGGGUAGCUGGGUUAGAGGGAAGAUUAUUGCUUAAGUCUCAGAGACUCUGUGACCUUGAGCAAGAGUUUAACCAGUCUGGCCUUAGCUUCCUUUCUCCAAAGCAUGGACUGAGAAACUUUAAAAACUACUAGAACUACCAGUAAAGGAAUGCUGGGUGACCUUGGGCAGCCUGUCUUCUUGCAAACAUGAAUUCAACAAGCUUCUCCUACAUUCUGUGUCCUAUUGUGUAAAAUGAGAAAGCCAGAUAAACAGCUUCUCCUGCAAGGUAAUUUAUGGAGAGCCAUCAUCCAAGGGCCAGCACCACUCUUGUUCUGAACCCAGGGAAAGCCUUUUGUGGAAUUUUAAAGGGCCAGCAAAAGAAAAAUCCCACAGCUCCUGCAUCUUCUCAAGUGACCACCUUGAAGCUGACCAGCCUGAUGACGGUGGAUACUGCCCCUGGGGACACUCCCCCCCACACCAAUUCUUGGCUGGUUGGUGUUGGGAACUGGUGGAAUGCCGAGCCUAGUGUCUUUUACAAGGGGGACAAUUCUAGAAGGGCAUCUGCACUCCAUUCAGGUGGAGCUCCCAACCUGCGGUGGCUUCUUCAAUAACACACUCUUAGAUUGACUUUCUUCCCUUUGCUGUCUGUUUCGGGGGAUGACCUUACAAUAAACU